rnacentral:rRNA from 1 species
UACGUAGGGUGCGAGCGUUAAUCGGAAUUACUGGGCGUAAAGCGUGCGCAGGCGGUGAGCUGUGUCCGAUGUGAAAGCCCCGGGCUUAACCGUGGGAAUGGCAUUGGAAACUGGCUCGCUGGAGUGUGGCAGAGGGGGGUGGGAAUUCCGCGUGUAGCAGCGAAAUGCGUAGAGAUGCGGAGGAACACCGAUGGCGAAGGCAGCCCCCUGGGCUAACACUGACGCUCAGGCACGAAAGCGUGGGGAGCAAACAGG